GUUUGCCUACGGGACGCAGCAGUAGGGAAUAUUGCUCAAUGGGGGAAACCCUGAAGCAGCAACGCCGCGUGGAGGAUGAAGGUUUUCGGAUUGUAAACUCCUUUUGUUAGAGAAGAUAAUGACGGUAUCUAACGAAUAAGCACCGGCUAACUCCGUGCCAGCAGCCGCGGUAAUACGGAGGGUGCAAGCGUUACUCGGAAUCACUGGGCGUAAAGAGCGCGUAGGCGGGAUAGCGAGUCAGAUGUGAAAUCCUAUGGCUUAACCAUAGUACUGCAUUUGAAACUGUUAUUCUAGAGUAUGUGUGA
rnacentral:rRNA from 1 species